CUUGACGUGGCCUAUAGAAUAACUCCCCCCCCCCCGUCUUGACGUGGCCUAUAGGAUAACUUCCCCUGUCUUGACAUGGCCUAUAGGAUAACUUCCCCUGUCUUGACAUGGCCUAUAGAAUAACUCCAUUCAUCUCACUGUAACCACUGAUGUAUUUUAAACUCGCUUUGCCUUAUGACUUUCUUUGUUCUGUAGAAAUAUAAAACUGAUUCCACAUUGGAACAUGGAAUUUGUAGUAACCUAAUUCUGUCUUCCUCGGUCAUGGCCACUCAAAUUUAGCUCCAGAAUAAACUCUGCCCAUUCCAUUGAAGGUGAGAGCUCUGUUUUCUGCGUUGACAUACCCAGCAGCGGGCUUGCUGGAUCAUGUGGUAGGUCAAUUUCAAAACUUUUGAGAACUGCCUCCCCACUUUUCUCCAUCAUGCAUAUGCUAAUUUGCGUUCCCACCCACCGUGUGCGAGCUGUACUCCUCGCUGUAAUAGCAUGCCUCCUGCGUGGAGCCGGCCCCAAGCUGGUUGUCAAGGAGAUGGGAAGUACAGAGGAAGAGGAGGUGGUCUGCUUGGCCGCUGCUGUGAUAAGCACACAGAGCUGGGAAUAAUUAGCGUCUGCUGCGUACCACGUGAGUGCUUUAUCUGCCCGCUCUGCCUCGGCUGGGAGAAGAUUUGAAAGUCUGCGCUUGCAUACCAAGGCCGGGAAGUAGAGGCGGCUUGGCGAGGCGCUGUGAAUGCCUGUGGUGACACAGUGACCUGCUGAGAGGAGAAGAUGCAGACACAGAGAGAAAAGCAAGCCACAUGGAGAUGGAGCAGAGACUGGAGUUAUGCAGACACAAGACGAGGAACUUCUAGAGGCUGCUGAAGCUGGAGGAGGGAGCUUCACACACGAUCCACAAUGCCAUCACCAGAUAAUCUCGUGACGCGCUGGAACCUUAUAGGGGAGAUAAACUGUCUUUACAAUCUUAACGUAAAAUUCGUGCAAUAAGGGCAAGAGGUCUUGAUGAAAACUUCUGUGGGAAAAGAUAGAGAGACUGUUUUGGACUGUGUCAUCAUGGAAGAGUUUCAGCAGCAUGGAAUUUGGACCAUUGAAAAAAAGGGAGAUGGUAAUGAGAAUUUAUUUGUCCACACACCUACCCA